GACGAACGCUGGCGGCGUGCUUAACACAUGCAAGUCGAACGGAAAGGCGCUGCUUUUGUGGGGUGCUCGAGUGGCGAACGGGUGAGUAACACGUGAGUAACCUGCCCUUGACUUUGGGAUAACUUCAGGAAACUGGGGCUAAUACCCGAUAGGAUCUCCUGAUGCAUGGUGGUGGUAGGAAAGUUUCGGCGGUUGGGGAUGGACUAGCGGGUUAUCCGCUUGUUGGUGGGGUAGGUGCUUACCAAGGGUUUGACGGGUAGCCGGCCUGAGAGCGUGACCAGCCACAUUGGGACUGAGAUACGGCCCAGACUGCUACGGGAGGCAGUAGUGGAGAAUAUUGCACAAUGGGCGGAAGCCUGAUGCAGCAACGCCGCGUGCGGGAUGACGGCCUUCGGGUUGUAAACCGAUUUCGCCUGUGACGAAGAGUGAGUGACGGUAAUGGGUAAAGAAGCACCGGCUAACUACGUG
rnacentral:rRNA from 1 species